rnacentral:rRNA from 1 species
UAGGGAAUCUUCCACAAUGGACGCAAGUCUGAUGGAGCAACGCCGCGUGAGUGAAGAAGGUUUUCGGACCGUAAAGCUCUGUUGUUGGUGAAGAAGGAUAGAGGUAGUAACUGGCCUUUAUUUGACGGUAAUCAACCAGAAAGUCACGGCUAACUACGUGCCAGCAGCCGCGGUAAUACGUAGGUGGCAAGCGUUGUCCGGAUUUAUUGGGCGUAAAGCGAGCGCAGGCGGAAGAAUAAGUCUGAUGUGAAAGCCCUCGGCUUAACCGAGGAAUUGCAUCGGAAACUGUUUUCUUGAGUGCAGAAGAGGAGAGUAGAACUCCAUGUGUAGCGGUGGAAUGCGUAGAUAUAUGGAAGAAUACCAGUGGCGAAGGCGGCUCUCUGGUCUGCAACUGACGCUGAGGCUCGAAAGCAUGGGUAGCGAACAGGAUUAGAUACCCUGGUAGUCCAUGCCGUAAACGAUGAGUGCUAAGUGUUGGGAGGCUUCCGCCUCUCAGUGCUGCAGCUAACGCAUUAAGCACUCCGCCUGGGGGCAGUACGACCGCAAG